AUACUUAAACCUGGCAGGGGAGAUACCAUGAUCACACAGGUAGUGUCCCCACGGUGAGGCUUAUCCAUUGUACUCUGGAUGUGCUUACCCCUGCGAUUUCCCCAAAUGGGGGAAACUCAGCUGCAUACUUUGUGAGGACUGCAUUUGCAUUUUCCCC
ensembl:snRNA U1 U1 spliceosomal RNA